rnacentral:rRNA from 1 species
GAUGAACGCUGGCGGCGUGCCUAAUACAUGCAAGUCGAGCGAACGGACGAGAAGCUUGCUUCUCUGAUGUUAGCGGCGGACGGGUGAGUAACACGUGGAUAACCUACCUAUAAGACUGGGAUAACUUCGGGAAACCGGAGCUAAUACCGGAUAAUAUUUUGAACCGCAUGGUUCAAAAGUGAAAGACGGUCUUGCUGUCACUUAUAGAUGGAUCCGCGCUGCAUUAGCUAGUUGGUAAGGUAACGGCUUACCAAGGCAACGAUGCAUAGCCGACCUGAGAGGGUGAUCGGCCACACUGGAACUGAGACACGGUCCAGACUCCUACGGGAGGCAGCAGUAGGGAAUCUUCCGCAAUGGGCGAAAGCCUGACGGAGCAACGCCGCGUGAGUGAUGAAGGUCUUCGGAUCGUAAAACUCUGUUAUUAGGGAAGAACAUAUGUGUAAGUAACUGUGCACAUCUUGACGGUACCUAAUCAGAAAGCCACGGCUAACUACGUGCCAGCAGCCGCGGUAAUACGUAGGUGGCAAGCGUUAUCCGGAAUUAUUGGGCGUAAAGCGCGCGUAGGCGGUUUUUUAAGUCUGAUGUGAAAGCCCACGGCUCAACCGUGGAGGGUCAUUGGAAACUGGAAAACUUGAGUGCAGAAGAGGAAAGUGGAAUUCCAUGUGUAGCGGUGAAAUGCGCAGAGAUAUGGAGGAACACCAGUGGCGAAGGCGACUUUCUGGUCUGUAACUGACGCUGAUGUGCGAAAGCGUGGGGAUCAAACAGGAUUAGAUACCCUGGUAGUCCACGCCGUAAACGAUGAGUGCUAAGUGUUAGGGGGUUUCCGCCCCUUAGUGCUGCAGCUAACGCAUUAAGCACUCCGCCUGGGGAGUACGACCGCAAGGUUGAAACUCAAAGGAAUUGACGGGGACCCGCACAAGCGGUGGAGCAUGUGGUUUAAUUCGAAGCAACGCGAAGAACCUUACCAAAUCUUGACAUCCUUUGACAACUCUAGAGAUAGAGCCUUCCCCUUCGGGGGGGCAAAGUGACAGGUGGUGCAUGGUUGUCGUCAGCUCGUGUCGUAAGAUGUUGGGUUAAGUCCCGCAACGAGCGCAACCCUUAAGCUUAGUUGCCAUCAUUAAGUUGGGCACUCUAAGUUGACUGCCGGUGACAAACCGGAGGAAGGUGGGGAUGACGUCAAAUCAUCAUGCCCCUUAUGAUUUGGGCUACACACGUGCUACAAUGGACAAUACAAAGGGCAGCGAAACCGCGAGGUCAAGCAAAUCCCAUAAAGUUGUUCUCAGUUCGGAUUGUAGUCUGCAACUCGACUACAUGAAGCUGGAAUCGCUAGUAAUCGUAGAUCAGCAUGCUACGGUGAAUACGUUCCCGGGUCU